UCCUUGGUGGCUCAGAUGGUAAAGCAUCCGCCUGCAAUGCAGGAGACCCGGGUUCGAUCCCUGGGUUGGGAA
rnacentral:tRNA from 1 species